GCAGACACAUUCCAGCCAAUCAGCAGCAUACCCUCCCUCUUAGACCCUCCCACCUCCUGGACAGCUCACUAAGAAUGCAGCUUCACAAUGAAUGUAAAAUGGAUGCUGUCCAGGAGGUGGGAGGGUCUGGGAGGGAGGGUCUGCUGCUGAUUGGCUGGAAUGUGUCUG
rnacentral:miRNA from 1 species